rnacentral:rRNA from 1 species
AUUGAACGCUGGCGGCAUGCUUUACACAUGCAAGUCGAACGGCAGCACGGGUGCUUGCACCUGGUGGCGAGUGGCGGACGGGUGAGUAAUACAUCGGAACGUAUCCUGAAGUGGGGGAUAACGCAUCGAAAGAUGUGCUAAUACCGCAUAUACUCUGAGGAGGAAAGUAGGGGAUCGAAAGACCUUAUGCUUUUGGAGCGGCCGAUGUCUGAUUAGCUAGUUGGUAAGGUAAUGGCUUACCAAGGCAACGAUCAGUAGUUGGUCUGAGAGGACGACCAGCCACACUGGGACUGAGACACGGCCCAGACUCCUACGGGAGGCAGCAGUGGGGAAUUUUGGACAAUGGGCGCAAGCCUGAUCCAGCAAUGCCGCGUGAGUGAAGAAGGCCUCGGUUGUAAGACUCUUUCAGUUGAGAAGAAAGAAUUGUAACUAAUAAUUAGUCAAUCCAUGACGGUAUCGACAGAAGAAGACACCGGCUAACUACGUG